UUGGAAGCUCAAAUCGCAUUUAAAGCACUAUCUUCUUUACUUUAGCUAGAUCCAUCUAUAUUUUCUACAAUUGUGGCUUGAAGCUCUCCAAAUAAUACAAGAAAUAAAGAUCCACACAUCUAUUUUAUAGUUUGUCAUGGCCAGACGUAUGCGUAAAUCAUCCAAGCGGUGCGAUUGCUGCACACCUUGGUGUAUCGUCUUGACCAUUCUAAUCCUUGCCUUCGUCAUUGCCAUAAUCUUGGUAUUGGAGGUUUACAAACCGAAAAUCCCUGUAACGCAGAUCUAAAUCAGCCACGAGUCACCUUACAAGGCGUCGAAUAUCCUUAUCGUUUGAUGUUCAUCUCAACUUCACAGUUAGUAGUCUCCAUAUUCUGGUAGUGAAGCGCAACAGUCGGUGUUUCAAGCACGAGAUAGGGAAGAUAUUAGUUGUAUACAGAGAAACAAGUUGGUGAUGUUGAUCUUCCCUCAGACAUAAGUAGCAAAGAUUGUGUUGGAAACAAAGACAGAGAUCCUGUAGGGAAGUCAAGCUGUUGGGAAUCUUCACGACACACUUUAGUUGCUAAAUCGGAUUGUAAAAUCAAUAUGGAUUUCCCUUCUAUGAAAGUGUAGAAUCAACCAAGAAUGUAAUAUGAGCUCUAAGUUUGUAGCUUGAAGUCGUCUUUUGGUAAACAUAUCAGGACUGAUUUUUAUGUCAUACACUUGUAAAGACUGUAUUUUUUCAACUCCAUCAAAAUAUUUCUUUAUCUCUCUC